CAACCUGCCGAUGACUCGGGAAUAGCCUUUCGAAAGAAAAAUUAAUACCCGAUGGCAUAGUUCUUCCGCAUGGUGGAACUAUUAAAGAAUUUCGGUCAUCGAUGGGGAUGCGUUCCAUUAGGUUGUUGGCGGGGUAACGGCCCACCAAGCCUUCGAUGGAUAGGGGUUCUGAGAGGAAGGUCCCCCACAUUGGAACUGAGACACGGUCCAAACUCCUACGGGAGGCAGCAGUGAGGAAUAUUGGUCAAUGGACGAGAGUCUGAACCAGCCAAGUAGCGUGAAGGAUGACUGCCCUAUGGGUUGUAAACUUCUUUUAUACGGGAAUAAAGUGAGGCACGCGUGCCUUUUUGUAUGUACCGUAUGAAUAAGGAUCGGCUAACUCCGUGCCAGCAGCCGCGGUAAUACGGAGGAUCCGAGCGUUAUCCGGAUUUAUUGGGUUUAAAGGGAGCGUAGGCGGACGCUUAAGUCAGUUGUGAAAGUUUGCGGCUCAACCGUAAAAUUGCAGUUGAUACUGGGUGUCUUGAGUACAGUAGAGGCAGGCGGAAUUCGUGGUGUAGCGGUGAAAUGCUUAGAUAUCACGAAGAACUCCGAUUG
rnacentral:rRNA from 1 species